rnacentral:rRNA from 1 species
UUUUAUGGAGAGUUUGAUCCUGGCUCAGGAUGAACGCUGGCGGCGUGCCUAAUACAUGCAAGUCGAGCGAACGGACGAGAAGCUUGCUUCUCUGAUGUUAGCGGCGGACGGGUGAGUAACACGUGGAUAACCUACCUAUAAGACUGGGAUAACUUCGGGAAACCGGAGCUAAUACCGGAUAAUAUUUUGAACCGCAUGGUUCAAAAGUGAAAGACGGUCUUGCUGUCACUUAUAGAUGGAUCCGCGCUGCAUUAGCUAGUUGGUAAGGUAACGGCUUACCAAGGCAACGAUGCAUAGCCGACCUGAGAGGGUGAUCGGCCACACUGGAACUGAGACACGGUCCAGACUCCUACGGGAGGCAGCAGUAGGGAAUCUUCCGCAAUGGGCGAAAGCCUGACGGAGCAACGCCGCGUGAGUGAUGAAGGUCUUCGGAUCGUAAAACUCUGUUAUUAGGGAAGAACAUAUGUGUAAGUAACUGUGCACAUCUUGAUGGUACCUAAUCAGAAAGCCACGGCUAACUACGUGCCAGCAGCCGCGGUAAUACGUAGGUGGCAAGCGUUAUCCGGAAUUAUUGGGCGUAAAGCGCGCGUAGGCGGUUUUUUAAGUCUGAUGUGAAAGCCCACGGCUCAACCGUGGAGGGUCAUUGGAAACUGGAAAACUUGAGUGCAGAAGAGGAAAGUGGAAUUCCAUGUGUAGCGGUGAAAUGCGCAGAGAUAUGGAGGAACACCAGUGGCGAAGGCGACUUUCUGGUCUGUAACUGACGCUGAUGUGCGAAAGCGUGGGGAUCAAACAGGAUUAGAUACCCUGGUAGUCCACGCCGUAAACGAUGAGUGCUAAGUGUUAGGGGGUUUCCGCCCCUUAGUGCUGCAGCUAACGCAUUAAGCACUCCGCCUGGGGAGUACGACCGCAAGGUUGAAACUCAAAGGAAUUGACGGGGACCCGCACAAGCGGUGGAGCAUGUGGUUUAAUUCGAAGCAACGCGAAGAACCUUACCAAAUCUUGACAUCCUUUGACAACUCUAGAGAUAGAGCUUUCCCCUUCGGGGGACAAAGUGACAGGUGGUGCAUGGUUGUCGUCAGCUCGUGUCGUGAGAUGUUGGGUUAAGUCCCGCAACGAGCGCAACCCUUAAGCUUAGUUGCCAUCAUUAAGUUGGGCACUCUAAGUUGACUGCCGGUGACAAACCGGAGGAAGGUGGGGAUGACGUCAAAUCAUCAUGCCCCUUAUGAUUUGGGCUACACACGUGCUACAAUGGACAAUACAAAGGGCAGCGAAACCGCGAGGUCAAGCAAAUCCCAUAAAGUUGUUCUCAGUUCGGAUUGUAGUCUGCAACUCGACUACAUGAAGCUGGAAUCGCUAGUAAUCGUAGAUCAGCAUGCUACGGUGAAUACGUUCCCGGGUCUUGUACACACCGCCCGUCACACCACGAGAGUUUGUAACACCCGAAGCCGGUGGAGUAACCUUUUAGGAGCUAGCCGUCGAAGGUGGGACAAAUGAUUGGGGUGAAGUCGUAACAAGGUAGCCGUAUCGGAAGGUGCGGCUGGAUCACCUCCUUUCUAA